rnacentral:lncRNA from 1 species
AUUGCGGGCGACGCUUAUACUCAAUCACCAAUUCAAGCUCCUCGACAUCACGCUAAACUGAGGGCAUAAUGUGUCCACUUGGGCUAAAAGCCGGUGUUGGGUUGCAUCGCAGAAGCAUCUGCCUAAUAGAUAUUGCAGAGACCGAACACACAAAUGGGUUUCUCUUAGGAUAGUGUGUGCUGUAUCACUAUACACCGCUCACAGUUUCCUGCCAUUGAUCAAGCCCCACCUAUUCAGCUGAUGGGCCAGAGGAGAAACCCGAUCACCUAACAAGAGAGAAGCAGAGGAGAGAGGAAGGAGAAAAUGAGAGAACUGGUACUGUACCACAGCCUCUUUAUUUCCCUUCGUACCUAAAACACAUCCCACUCUGUGCAAUGCAUAUCAGUUUUACUGUGUCUACA